GUUAUAAUCUCUCCUCACCGGCAAAUGGAUCCUCUCCUUCUUCCUAUUUUCUUCUCUUCUUCUCCUUAAGCUGUCGUCGAAAUUGAGGGGGGAUUGGGGAAAGUUAGAAGCAUUUCAAGUACGUAAAAUUUAUGACUUAUGUUAAUACCGACUGUAAUUGAACCCCAAAGAAUUCAUCGAUUCUGUCUUCGUCCCUUCAGAGCUUCCUCUUUCGACGUCGGCAGAAUAUUGCAGCGAACUUCCCGCGAGUAAAGAGUAGAAAGCUAAUAAAUGAGUAGCACAUGCGGUAAUGCUUCGUCAAGUACAGGUCCCAAAAUCCUAUUAGCGAAGCCUGGACUUGUCACCGCCGGCAAGUUCAAUCGCGGCGGCGCUGACCUUGUAUGCCGGGGUCAAUAGGUUCACUCAACCUUCUCUCUGACUCCUGGGAGUUCCACACUGAUGGUUUCUUCCCAUUUUUGACUGAUAAUACGGAUUUUACUAUGGUGGGGUGAUUGGUCCACCAGGGGUGGGCAAGUCAACUAUAAAGAACAAAAUUUAUGGCUUUGAUUCUAGCUCUCCUGGAAUGCUUCCUCCAUUCGCAAAACAAUCAGAAGAAAUAAGGGCAAUGGCGAAGCAUUGUACUGUUGGAAUCGAACCUUGGGUUUCAUCUGAACGGAUUAUACUUCUUGAUUCACAUGUGUUUAAUUCGUUAGUUAGUAACAAUCAGUUUUUGGUGUUUUACUCUUUCCUUUGUUCACUGACAGCUUAAGGAGAAGAAGAGAAGAAAAUAGGAAGGAGAUACCUAGUUGUUGGCGGCCGGAGAACAGGAUCGGCGAACUCAAAUGGAAGGAAAAAAAAAAAAAAAAAAAAAAAAAAA